UACGGAGGGUGCAAGCGUUAAUCGGAAUUACUGGGCGUAAAGCGCGCGUAGGUGGUUUGUAAGCGAGAUGUGAAAGCCCCGGGCUUAACCUGGGAACGGCAUUUCGAACUGUCAGGCUAGAGUAUGGUAGAGGGUAGUGGAAUUUCCUGUGUAGCGGUGAAAUGCGUAGAUAUAGGAAGGAACACCAGUGGCGAAGGCGGCUACCUGGACCAAUACUGACACUGAGGUGCGAAAGCGUGGGAGCAAACAGGAUUAGAUACCCCGUAGUCC
rnacentral:rRNA from 1 species